rnacentral:lncRNA from 1 species
UCUCUUUAUCUUCCCUCUCUCUAAUAACCCAACAUCUCGCAUUCAUUCCUUGGGCUUUUAAGGCACCAAAAUACAACCGAAAACGUAACCAAAACAACAAUCAGCCGACAGUGGGCAUCCAAAAAAGCCAACAAGAUCGAUAGACAAGCAAACAACUGCAGGCAACAUGGUCGGAUGCCAUGGUAAAAAAGACAUAUAAGAAUUGCGCUGUGUACGGCCGAAACUCACCGGCAACAUCAACAAAACAACCAUCUCGCUCUGUUCCUCUCUCUGGAAACUUAUAGGUUACAGUGAAAAGUGAAAGAGGAUUUAAGGAUGAAAACCUCGAAGAUCGAGUUCACGUUCGCGAAGAGCGUUGAAGAAGUGAGGGCUUUUCCGUAUCAAAUCGGCUGAAAGUCUCACCAUUUUCAUUUUGAGAAGGAAUUUGGGAAAAUUUGGGUUUGUUAUGGCGGAGAUCUGAGAUAUAGUUAGGGCAAAUUUUGAGAGGGAGUUCAAAAUUUUGGGAGGGAAUUAAUAAUUAGGGGAAAAUUUGAGAGGGAUUUGAAUAAGGAUGGAAAUGGAUCGGGUUCGGGUUGGGUAUUAGUAAUCCCAUAUCCAUACCCGCUAGUAAAAAUGUGUCUCAUACCCGACGCAAUACCCGUCGGGUAUUUGUCGGGUAAUUACCCGUCGGAUAUCGGGUAUACACGUGGAUAUCGGGUAUACCCAUUAAUUUGUUAAAAGAUAUAUGUUGGGGUUUCUAAAAUACAUUUCUUUUACUAUUACAAUUAUUAUGUAUUUUAUUUAUACAACAACAAUUAUAAAUUAAAAAAUUACAUUACAGAAUAUAAUUUUAUCAUAAAUUAAUAACUUUAUAGUACUUAUACACUAUAUGUAUAUACUUUACAACAUACAACAUAAAAAUAAUAUUAUCAAAUACGUAUACUAAAAGAAAAUUUAUUUUUUCACAUUAUGAACAUACAAAAAUAAAAAUACUAAUAGACAACGGUUAAUGGAAAAUAAAAAUACAAAUUAAAAGAUCCGGGUAUAUAGUUCGACUAAACGGGUAUAUGGUUUCGGGUAAUCUGGUCGGGUAUCACCUAAUCCCAUACCCUACCCAUACCCAUGAAAAAUUUUAAAUCUAAUCCCAUACUCGGCCCAAUACCCGUCGGGUAUCAGGUUAACUCGUCCUAUUUGUGUCGGGUUUCGAGUAUAUCCGUCGGGCUCGAGUAUUUUUGACAUCCCUAGAUUUGAAAUUGUUAGCUGGAAAAUUUGGUAGUUUAGUGGAGAAAAAACAAAGGGUUCCGGGUGGGAUACCUAAUACGCCCAGAAAGAUGUCUUUUUGGGCCCUCCUCUAAAACGCCUAGAAAUAUACACUUUUUGGGCGUUAUUCUUUUAAAAUUGGGUGGUUCUUGAUUUCCUAUAAUUACACAAAUAGAUUUUGAGCGCUUUUGGGUCCUAGAUGCCAAAAAUAAGUUUUCUAAGCGCCCAGAAAAAUAGAUAUUCUAGUAGUGGCUGUUCAGAAGAAGCGACGCAAAUUGUUUAUAUAGAGUAAUAUAAAAUAUAAAUUUUGGUGAAACAUGAUUGAAAAAAUAAUAUUGGAGGGAGAUGUAGGAGGGAAAAUAUUUCAAGACACAUUUUAUUAAAGUGUUUUAAGAAGGUUAAGAGAAGAUUUUAGAAUUUAGAAGCACUUAGGAAAUAGUGGCAUAUGUAAAGUACCAUUAAAAGUUAUCAAACAUUUUAUUUUAGUGGCAUAUGGAAAGUAUCAUUAAAAAUCUAAAUUAGUGGCAUAAGGUCUAAAUGCCACUAAUAACGUGUGCUAAGCUAAGGUGGCACACGUAAAGUGCCACUAAAAUCUAAAUAAAUGGUACAAAAGCUAAAUGCCACUAAAAGUGUGUGCCACUAAAUGGACUUUUUUUUGUAGUGAUAGGCCACAAACACGUGUCAAACUAAAAAAGCAAAUUAUCCAAACGCCGUUAAGUCAUCGUUAAGUUACUAUUCACAACAUUUAUGCAUUAAUAGAUUGUAAUGUAAUGUAAUGUAAUGUGAUUGUAAUGUAAUGUAAUUGUAAUGUAAUAUGAAAAAAAGUUAGUAUUUACAUUUUACCAUCUUA